UUUUUGAAUUGAUAAUUUAAAGUCUAAUCUGCCCACUGAUAAUAAAUUAAAGGGCUGCAGUAUAUUGACUGUACAAAGGUAGCAUAAUCAAUAGUCUCUUAAUUGGUGACUUGUAUGAAAGAUUUAAUGAGAUAUAAACUGUCUCUUUAUAAUUUUUAGAAUUUAAUUUUUUAGUUAAAAAGCUAAAAUAUAUUUAAAAGACNNNNNNNNNNNNNNNNNNNNAAUAUUUAAUAUGUAUAUUAAAUAUUUUUUAUGAAAUUUAAAAUUUUAAUAUUUAUAAAUAUUUUGUUGGGGUGACAGAAAAAUUAAAAUAACUUUUUUUAUAAUUUUACAUUAAUAAAUGGUUAAAUGAUCCGUAAUUUACGAUUAUAAGAAAAAAUUACCUUAGGGAUAACAGCGUAAUUUUUUUUUUUAGUUCAAAUAAGAAAAAAAGUUUGCGACCUCGAUGUUGGAUUAAGAUAAAAUUUAAAUGCAAAAGUUUAAAAUUUUU
rnacentral:rRNA from 1 species